GCCCUCGACUCUCUCCCAUGCCGCUGCUGCCCAGCACGGGAAAAGCCAUGGGCCCUGGAUCCUUUAUACCUGUGUGACUUCGGGAGCAAAAUUACCCAGAUCUCAUCUUCCUCCUAGCCUCUUCUGCUGUUUGAACACAUGUGAGCAUGGUUCUGGGGUUUGGGAUUCAUCAAUCACUGGGAAAAAAAGCCCCUGUUUCUGUGCUAACCCCACCAGUUUCAUCAUCUGAGAGCAGACUUCUCAUGCGUCCUGGAACUGACUUACCAUCAGCUUAUCUCAUGGGCAUGUAAGACCUGAAAAAAAAUCUCAGGUUCCCUUGACUGUCUGCAAUGCUUCUG